GUCUUCGUGGCUUAGUUGGUUAAAGCGUCGGUCUCAUAGAAUUGACUCGCUGGGUAACCAGUGAGAUAUCCGAAGGUCGUGAGUUCAAGGUAGGAGGUCAUCUGUAUGAAGCCG